rnacentral:rRNA from 1 species
GACGUAGGGCGCGAGCGUUGUCCGGAUUUAUUGGGCGUAAAGAGCUCGUAGGUGGUUUUGUCGCGUUGUCCGUGAAAAACUCACAACUCAAUUGUGGGCGUGCGGGCGAUACGGGCAGACUGGAGUACUGCAGGGGAGACUGGAAUUCCUGGUGUAGCGGUGGAAUGCGCAGAUAUCAGGAGGAACACCGGUGGCGAAGGCGGGUCUCUGGGCCGAUACUGACGCUGAGGAGCGAAAGCGUGGGGAGCGAACAGG